CGGUGCGGUAUCCGUUAUUAGGAGCGGGAUCCCAUCAAAACUCCGAAGUUAAGCGUGCUUGGGCGAGAGUAGUACUAGGAUAGGUGACCUCCUGGGAAGUCCUCGUGUUGCAUUCC
rnacentral:rRNA from 14 species